UAGUCUCUGACAAAAGAAGGUUGU
rnacentral:siRNA from 1 species